GAGUUUGAUCUUGGCUCAGAUUGAACGCUGGCGGCAGGCCUAACACAUGCAAGUCGAGCGGUAGAGAGAAGCUUGCUUCUCUUGAGAGCGGCGGACGGGUGAGUAAUGCCUAGGAAUCUGCCUGGUAGUGGGGGAUAACGCUCGGAAACGGACGCUAAUACCGCAUACGUCCUACGGGAGAAAGCAGGGGGACCUUCGGGCCUUGCGCUAUCAGAUGAGCCUAGGUCGGAUUAGCUAGUUGGUGAGGUAAUGGCUCACCAAGGCGACGAUCCGUAACUGGUCUGAGAGGAUGAUCAGUCACACUGGAACUGAGACACGGUCCAGACUCCGUACGGGAGGCAGCAGUGGGGGAAUAUUGGACAAUGGGCGAAAGCCUGAUCCAGCCAUGCCGCGUGUGUGAAGAAGGUCUUCGGAUUGUAAAGCACUUUAAGUUGGGAGGAAGGGCAGUAAAUUAAUACUUUGCUGUUUUGACGUUACCGACAGAAUAAGCACCGGCUAACUCUGUGCCAGCCGCCG
rnacentral:rRNA from 1 species